CCUACGGGUGGCUGCAGUAGGGAAUCUUGCGCAAUGGGCGAAAGCCUGACGCAGCGACGCCGCGUGAGCGAUGAAGGCCUUCGGGUCGUAAAGCUCUGUGGGGAGAGACGAAUAAGGUUUGGCUAAUAUCCAAGCCGAUGACGGUAUCUCCUUAGCAAGCACCGGCUAACUCUGUGCCAGCAGCCGCGGUAAGACAGAGGGUGCAAACGUUGUUCGGAAUUACUGGGCGUAAAGCGCGUGUAGGCGGCAACGCAAGUCGGGCGUGAAAUCCCACG
rnacentral:rRNA from 1 species